rnacentral:rRNA from 1 species
UAACAGCUGGAAACGGCUGCUAAUACCGCAUAAGCGCACAGUGCCGCAUGGCACGGUGUGAAAAACUCCGGUGGUAUGGGAUGGGCCCGCGUUGGAUUAGCCAGUUGGCAGGGUAACGGCCUACCAAAGCGACGAUCCAUAGCCGGCCUGAGAGGGCGACCGGCCACAUUGGGACUGAGACACGGCCCAAACUCCUACGGGAGGCAGCAGUGGGGAAUAUUGCACAAUGGGGGAAACCCUGAUGCAGCGACGCCGCGUGAGCGAAGAAGUAUUUCGGUAUGUAAAGCUCUAUCAGCAGGGAAGAAAAUGACGGUACCUGACUAAGAAGCCCCGGCUAACUACGUGCC